GUUGCCCUUAGGCGUGCCCCUUAGGCAAAUCCGGGGGGCUGAGCUGAGGCGUGAUGACGAGGAACCACGGUUCCGAAGUGAUUGAUACCAAGCUUCCAGGAAAAGCCACUAAGCUUCAGUCUAGAGUUGACCGUACCGCAAACCGACACAGGUGGGCAGGAUGAAAAUUCUAAGGCGCUUGAGAGAACUCAGGAGAAGGAACUCGGCAAAUUAACACCGUAACUUCGGGAGAAGGUGUGCCCCGGUAGCGUGUAGAGACUUGCUCUCGAAGCGCGAUGGGGUUGCAGUGAAAUGGUGGCUGCGACAGUUUAAUAAAAACACAGCACUCUGCAAACACGAAAGUGGACGUAUAGGGUGUGACGCCUGCCCGGUGCCGGAAGGUUAAGUGAUGGGGUGCAAGCUCUUGAUCGAAGCCCCGGUAAACGGCGGCCGUAACAAUAACGGUCCUAAGGUAGCGAAAUUCCUUGUCGGGUAAGUUCCGACCUGCACGAAUGGCGUAACGAUGGCCACACUGUCUCCUCCUGGGACUCAGCGAAGUUGAAAUGUUUGUGAAGAUGCAAUCUACCCGCGGCUAGACGGAAAGACCCCAUGAACCUUUACUGUAGCUUUGCAUUGGACUUUGAACCGGUUUGUGUAGGAUAGGUGGGAGACUGUGAAGCCGGGACGCUAGUUUCGGUGGAGUCAACCUUGAAAUACCACCCUGAUUUGUUUGAGGUUCUAACCUUGGUCCGUGAAUCCGGAUCGGGGACCGUGCAUGGUAGGCAGUUUGACUGGGGCGGUCUCCUCCCAAAAGGUAACGGAGGAGUACGAAGGUACGCUUAGGGCGGUCGGACAUCGCCCACAAAGUGCAAUGGCAAAAGCGUGCUUGACUGCGAGACCCACAAGUCGAGCAGGUACGAAAGUAGGUCAUAGUGAUCCGGUGGUUCUGUAUGGAAGGGCCAUCGCUCAACGUAUAAAAGGUACUCUGGGGAUAACAGGCUAAUUCCUCCCAAGAGUUCAUAUCGACGGGGGAGUUUGGCACCUCGAUGUCGGCUCAUCACAUCCUGGGGCUGUAGUCGGUCCCAAGGGUAUGGCUGUUCGCCAUUUAAAGUGGUACGCGAGCUGGGUUUAAAACGUCGUGAGACAGUUUGGUCCCUAUCUGCCGUGGGCGCUGGAAAUUUGAAGGGGGCUGCUCCUAGUACGAGAGGACCGGAGUGGACGAACCUCUGGUGUACCGGUUAUGACGCCAGUCGUAUCGCCGGGUAGCUAAGUUCGGAAGAGAUAAACGCUGAGAGCAUCUAAGCGUGAAACUCGCCUUAAGAUAAGAUUUCCCGGAGUCUUGAACUCCCUGAAGGGUCGUCGAAGACCACGACGUUGAUAGGUCAGGUGUGGAAGCGCAGCAAUGCGUUAAGCUAACUGAUACUAAUUG
rnacentral:rRNA from 1 species